GAAUUUUACAAAUUUUUCAAAAAAUUUGCAUAAAGCAAGGCCAUUACUGCUAUCUUACAAUCAUCACAAGCCUAUUUCAGCGACGGUGACUGUGACCACUGUCACGAUUUGAAACCAUGGUAGAGUCUUAGGAAGACUAGGUUGGGAGUCAUGGCAGUAGUGUUAAGAAGACACUCUCAUUAAGAAUCUCCUGUCUUAGCUAAGGGAAUCAAUUUUAGGAGGUUCUCUAGCUAAAGUGGUACCUAUAGCAAAAAUCAUUAGCAAACUUCUUUGUGAAACAUUGAAAUUUUGCAAUCAACUUACAAUUAUGAACACAAUGAAUAUUUUGAAUUCUUUCAACCUUUUAGAACAAUUUUUUUUUUUAAAGCAGUUCACUAAAAUAACUAUAAAUGGCAAUUGGAGAUCUGAAGGCUAUAAAUUACCUCUCUUAAGAAUUCCUCUUU
rnacentral:misc_RNA from 1 species